rnacentral:rRNA from 1 species
UGGGGAAUCUUGCGCAAUGGGCGAAAGCCUGACGCAGCGACGCCGCGUGGGGAUGACGGGUUUCGGCUUGUAAACCCUGUUGCCGGACGAACUCUCCUUCGAUGGAGAUUGACGGUACCGGGUGAGGAAGCACCGGCUAACUCUGUGCCAGCAGCCGCGGUAAUACAGAGGGUGCGAGCGUUGUCCGGAAUCACUGGGCGUAAAGGGCGCGUAGGUGGCGCGACAAGUCGGUGGUGAAAGUUCGACGCUCAACGUCGAAUCGGCCACCGAUACUGUCGGGCUCGAGCACUGUAGAGGCUAAUGGAAUUCCGGGUGUAGCGGUGGAAUGCGUAGAGAUCCGGAAGAACACCGGUGGCGAAGGCGGUUAGCUGGGCAGUUGCUGACACUGAGGCGCGACAGCGUGGGGAGCAAACAGGAUUAGAUACC